rnacentral:rRNA from 1 species
UUAACCAAAGUAACCGUAAGAGUUGAUCUUGGCUCAGGAAGUCGUAACAGGGUAGCCGCUGGAUAGUAACGGCGGACGGGUGAGUAACACGUGGAUGACCUGCCCAUAAGACUGGGAUAACUCCGGGUAACCGGGGCUAAUACCGGAUAACAUUUUGAACCGCAUGGUUCGAAAUUGAAAGGCGGCUUCGGCUGUCACUUAUGGAUGGACCCGCGUCGCAUUAGCUAGUUGGUGAGGUAACGGCUCACCAAGGCAACGAUGCGUAGCCGACCUGAGAGGGUGAUCGGCCACACUGGGACUGAGACACGGCCCAGACUCCUACGGGAGGCAGCAGUAGGGAAUCUUCCGCAAUGGACGAAAGUCUGACGGAGCAACGCCGCGUGAGUGAUGAAGGCUUUCGGGUCGUAAAACUCUGUUGUUAGGGAAGAACAAGUGCUAGUUGAAUAAGCUGGCACCUUGACGGUACCUAACCAGAAAGCCACGGCUAACUACGUGCCAGCAGCCGCGGUAAUACGUAGGUGGCAAGCGUUAUCCGGAAUUAUUGGGCGUAAAGCGCGCGCAGGUGGUUUCUUAAGUCUGAUGUGAAAGCCCACGGCUCAACCGUGGAGGGUCAUUGGAAACUGGGAGACUUGAGUGCAGAAGAGGAAAGUGGAAUUCCAUGUGUAGCGGUGAAAUGCGUAGAAAUAUGGAGGAACACCAGUGGCGAAAGGCGACUUUUCUGGUCUGUAACUGACACUGAGGCGGCGAAAGCGUGGGGAGCAAACAGGAUUAAGAUACCCUGGGUAGUCCACGCCCGUUAAACGAUGAAUGCUAAGUGUUAAAAGGGGUUUCCCCCCCUUUAACUGCUGAAAGUUAAACGCAUUAAAGCACCUCCCGCCUGGGGGAAUAAGGGCCGCAAGGGUUGAAACCUCAAAAGGAAAUGGAACCGGGGGCCCCGGCCCAAGCCGGGGGAAGCAUGGGGGUUUAAUUUCGGAAACCACCGCGAAAAAACACUUAACCAGGGGUCUUGGACAUUCCUUCGGACCAUACCCCCUAAAAGAAAAGGGCUUUCUCC